rnacentral:lncRNA from 1 species
CUAGAGAGAUCACUAUAGCUAUCCAAUGGAACCUAGAGAGAUCACUAGCUAUAUGCAAUUUUCAUGACUAUGACAUAUCAUAUUGCUAUCCAAUGGAACCUAGAGAGAUCACUAGCUAUAUUCAAUUUUCAUAACCUUGGAUCAAAGAACACCGCAUAAAAUUGUAUCACUACGACUAUGAUUUCAAUGGAACAUAUUGAACUAAUCAGAUUUUUCAGAUUAUGGAACACUAUUCCAAUUAGAUUGUGUUUCCUUCAACUAAUCAAAAUUGUUUCACUACAACUAUUUGAAGCCAACCAACUAUGAUUCCAAUGGAACAUAUUAAACACUAGUUGAUUCUAAUACGAUUUUUCAGAUUAUGGAACACUAUUCCAAUCAGAUUGUGC